rnacentral:lncRNA from 10 species
CCAAAAAUAUGCUCUGAAGUACAUCCCUUGAUUGAAUUUACUUAAGUUUCUUUUGGAAAAAAAUAAAAAUAAUUGUAUUUGCUAGUAAGAGAAGGUAGAACAUUAUUUGCCCAUUUGUUUUCAGAAGUAAAGCAAGACAUUUAUGUUUUCAGAAGUAAAACAAAUACAAUAUUUUCUAAGUAAUAAGGUUGAGACAAGAAAAAACCAGCAAUGAGUCAAAAUGUCUAUUUACAUUCUUUUACAGGAAAACAAGACUUAGCUACUUUCUUCCAAAAAAAAAUUUAAGUAGAAAUGUUACUGUUUUACUAAAAGUAAAUACAUUUUACAUACUUCUCUCAUAAUUUUAAUCUGGAGUUCAGUUAUGGUGAUCAUAUUAGUCAGUGUUUUCCAGAGAGACAGAACCAAUAGGAGAAAGAGACAGGGAGAUGAAAUAAGGCAUUGUUUAGCAUGAUUAUGGGGGAAAAGACAUCCCAAGAUCUGCAGUCAGCAAUCUGGAGACUCAGGAGAGAUGGUGGCAUAGCUCCAGUGUGAAAGCUGGCAGGCAGGUUUGACACUCAAUGAAAGCCAAAGUUUCAGUUUGAGUCCAAAGGUGGGAAGAAACCAAUGUCCCAUCUCAAUGCUUUCAGGUAGGAGGAAGUUCCUUCUUACUCCUAGGAAACUCAGCCUUCUUAUUCUAUUCAAGACUUCCACUGAUUGAUGGGACCCACCCACAUCAUUGGGGAAGUCUACUUUACUCAGUCUACGAAUUCAAUACAGAAAAAGAUACAAAUAAGAUAUCAUUUAAAUUUUUAAAAAAUCAUUGCUAAUCAAAAUGUAGCAUUUUAAUUGUGUUUUUAGAGUUUUGUAAGUGUCCUUAAUUUUUCAGCUUAUUCUUAAAAAAUCAAUUUCACUUUAUUCAAAAUUCCCUUUUGGAAAACAUUAAAUGCUGGCCCAUAUAAUCUUAGACUUUACAUGCUUUUUGAUAAAUAUAACAUUAAAAGUAGCAUGUGUAGUCAUUUAAAUUACACAUAUAAGAUGUACAUAUAUUAUUCUCCAGAGGAAAUAAAACUGUUAAGAACUCUGAUUUAGGUAGGGUUCUCCAGAGAAACAGAACUGAUAGAAGAUGUGUGUGUGUGUGUGUGUGUGUGUGUGUGUGUAUAGACAGAGAGCGAGAGAAGAAGUGAAGAGAAGACAUUUAUUAGGAGAAUUGGCUUAUCUGAUUUCAGAGGCUAAGAAGUCUCAUAAUAGGCCACGUGCAAGCUGGAGAACCAAGAAACUUGUUAGCAUGGCUCAGUCCAAAUCCAGAGGCCUUUCCAGACUUUACCACUAAUCAACGCAUUAUAUUUAGAAAGGUAUCAUAGUAAGUCUCUAUUUCAAUUUAAAAUUCUCUAUUUUCAGUGACAAUGAAGGACAAAGGAUCAAAUUUUAUAAUUAUUGUGAAAAGAGAUUAUAGAGAAAGGGCCUGGAUAAUACCAAAAAUAGAAGAACCAUCCAUCUGGGGCAGAGAAUCAGCAGUGAUAUUACUUGAAAUAUGGAAAUUAAUAGUAUGUAUGGUUGAGUUUAAGAUCUAAAACAUAAAAGUUAAAUCUAAAUCUAAAAUAUGUGAUUUAACUCUCUAGAAUAUAUCUACUCAAUUAUAUGAAACAAGCGGGCUGAUUCUCAAUACUUUAUCAAUAAUAAAGGUUUUUCCAAAUAUUAUUGAAGAAAUAUCAAAGUGUCUAAAAAACAAAGCCUUAGACCAUGAACCAUAGAGAAAAAGAAAAGGUUUGCCAUAAAAAGUGAAUAACCUUUUUAUUCCCAGUUGUGAUGUGUUCAUACAAACCAUUAGCACUUUCAUUUCAGUGAAUUAUGCCAGUUCUUGCUUUACCUUGUCAAGAUUAUAUAUAUGAUUAUAUAAGCCAAACAUGCUUCCAAGCUGUAACUCACACGAAAAUAAUAAAGACUGUGAAUGAACUGACUAUAUUUUAUACAAAACAAAAUCAUACACUUAUUUUAGAUUUGAAAAUAUUUGGGCAAUAGGUUAAUUGGAUCUCUUUUCAGUGUUUGGGAUGUGUGUGCAUACGAAUGAGUGUAUGUCUUUGUGUGUCAUCAGCUCAACCUACCUUGAAGAAAAAAUAUGAUAAAGUAAAUAAAUAAAAUAUAUAUUAUCAGAAGUCGGUAGAGAUAAAAAGUACAAAAUUUGAUGAAGGUCUCUGUCUUGUUUAUCAUUACAUGAGAAAGGAAAAACUUGUAAUAUAAGACAAAAAUUAUUUUUUAUAGUAGCUAUUUUUGAACACUGCUCUGCUCAACAAUUUUGCAUCCAUUAAAAUAAAUAUGAGAAUCAAAUAUUUCAAAGCAAUGCUAUAAAAUACUAUAGGCAUGGGCAAGGACUUCAUGUCUAAAACACCAAAAGC